UAGCGGAACUCCUACGGGAGGCAGCAGUGGGGAAUAUUGGACAAUGGGCGCAAGCCUGAUCCAGCAAUUCCGCGUGGGUGAAGAAGGUCUUCGGAUUGUAAAGCCCUUUCGGCGGGGACGAUGAUGACGGUACCCGCAGAAGAAGCCCCGGCUAACUUCGUGCCAGCAGCCGCGGUAAUACGAAGGGGGCUAGCGUUGCUCGGAAUGACUGGGCGUAAAGGGCGCGUAGGCGGCACCGACAGUCAGGCGUGAAAUUCCUGGGCUUAACCUGGGGGCUGCGUUUGAUACGUCGGAGCUAGAGGAUGGAAGAGGCUCGUGGAAUUCCCAGUGUAGAGGUGAAAUUCGUAGAUAUUGGGAAGAACACCGGUGGCGAAGGCGGCGAGCUGGUCCAUUACUGACGCUGAGGCGCGAAAGCGUGGGGAGCAAACAGGAUUAGAAACCCUAGUAGUCCACUUAUG
rnacentral:rRNA from 1 species